GGAAAGACGAGCCAAGCUUAAAACCCAAAGGACUUGACGGUACCCCAUAUCCCCCUAGAGGACCUGUCCUAUAAUUGAUAAUCCCCGUUUAACCUCACCACUUCUAGCAAUUCAGCCUGUAUACCUCCGUCGUCAGCUUACCACGUGAGCGUUAGUGAGCUCAAUGUUAUUUCAACCAACGUCAGGUCAAGGUGCAACAUAUGAA
rnacentral:rRNA from 1 species